rnacentral:rRNA from 1 species
AGAGUUUGAUCAUGGCUCAGGACGAACGCUGGCGGCGCGCUUAACACAUGCAAGUCGAGCGAGAACCAGUCCUUCGGGAUUGGGGAAAGCGGCGAACGGGUGAGUAACACGUGAGUAAUCUGCCCUCGGCACCGGGAUAGCCCGGGGAAACCCGGAUUAAUACUGGAUAGCCUUUCGAGCCUUCGGGCUCGUCAGAAAAGGUGGCUUCGGCUUCCGGCUGAGGAGGAGCUCGCGGCGGAUUAGCUUGUUGGCGGGGUAAUGGCCCACCAAGGCGACGAUCCGUAGCUGGUCUGAGAGGACGAUCAGCCACACUGGGACUGAGACACGGCCCAGACUCCUACGGGAGGCAGCAGUGGGGAAUCUUGCGCAAUGGGCGAAAGCCUGACGCAGCGACGCCGCGUGCGGGAAGAAGGCCUUCGGGUUGUAAACCGCUUUCAGGAGGGACGAAGCCACUCGGGUUAAUAGCCCAGAGGGUGACGGUACCUCCAGAAGAAGCCCCGGCUAACUACGUGCCAGCAGCCGCGGUAAUACGUAGGGGGCAAGCGUUGUCCGGAUUUAUUGGGCGUAAAGCGCGUGUAGGCGGCCAGGUAGGUCGGCUGUGAAAACUCGAGGCUCAACCUCGAGAUGUCGGCCGAAACCAUCUGGCUAGAGUCCGGAAGAGGAGAGUGGAAUUCCCGGUGUAGCGGUGAAAUGCGCAGAUAUCGGGAAGAACACCCGUGGCGAAGGCGGCUCUCUGGGACGGUACUGACGCUG